CUGAAGGGAGAAUAUCUCCUGGACAAAGGCUGCUUUUUGAGAAGGAGAGUUCUGUAGCCAGAGAUCCUAUCACUAGUUGAGCUACCCACAGAUGUCAUGCAACUGCAACACACAGGCUAGCACUUCACGCUAGUACUGAAAAGACAGCCUGAAGGAAAGAGCAGAUGGAAUGCUGUGGAGCAGGCCAAACACAGACAAGCAGACAAGUUCAAGCUGUGAUCAUGUCCUGUUUCCGUGGUGGUGUUUCUGGGAUAACAGCAUCUGGUGGAAAUGAGAUAUGUAUGUUGUACUAUGAAUGUGUACUGAGGACAACUGGAAGUGGAUGUAAAGCUAGAAAUAGGCAGACCAGAAAAAAAAAAAAGAACUCUGAGGAAACCUAGAAGGCAAACUUGUGAAUUUCAAGAAUUCAUAUAAUUGGGUAGGACUUUUUGUUUACAUAUAUAAAUAUUUCCAUCUAUAAACUUAGGCCAAAAUAAAAAUCUUCUUGCUAAACACCAGGAUAGACCAGAUAUAAAAUUUAGUUUUAUGCUGUCUCUGAAGUUUAAUAUUCUGUUAGCUAAUUGUAAGUAAUAUAAUUCUUAUUUAGCAGAUGAUUGUUAUUUUUUCUUGUUAUUUGUGUGGAUCUAUGAGUACACUUGAAGAGAAAUGAGAAUUAAAAUGCUCAAGUAUAACAUAUUUAGUUUAUAAACACUGAAAAAAAUGUUGAAAAACUAGCACUGUUGAAAAAUAAACUUAUUUUAAAACUUUUAUUUUAAAACUAUUCAUUUUAUCAACUUUCCUUGACCAUGAAGGCUUUUGGGGAGGGGAGGGAGAGGAAUUAAUGCAACAUUCAUUGUACUAUGAAGUCUUAAAAAUCUGUUUUUGAGCAUAUGGUCAUUAUCUCAAGCAGAGGAGUAGUAGACUACCUGCAUGAGAAUUAUGUAUGCAAGAUGUUAAAACAAUACAAUCACAGACUCUCUUUGAAGAUAAAGUCUGAAGAUGAGGGAAUGAUGUCCAGUGACCUAUGUGAGUUCUAAAUACAAUUUUGUGAAUAUGCUCCGAAAAUAAAAGGCAGUGCCAGUGUGAUGAAACAAGCCAGCUUUGAGAGACAUGAUGAUUUUUGUCAUUUGAAGCUCUGAUCUUGCACUUAUUAAACUUACACUCAAUAGUGUGGGCCAAAUAAAUUGUACUACCCAAUCUUUACUACAGGUACAUAUUUUUUAACAUCUUACAACAUUUUCUGAUGUUCUUUCGGUCCUAUUAGUCCACUUGGAAACAAACAACAACAAAAAAGGGACUUA